rnacentral:lncRNA from 1 species
CACCGAGAUGCUUCGUACACACACAGGUAGUAGUUUGAGACUCAGGAACAAGGCGCUCCUGCGUGAGCCCCGUGAACAUCCACUGUGGGCCCCACAGGAAGACAAGCUCAGGGCUGUGGCCGCCUUUGUGCGGUUGGCCUGGUAAAUGGCCCCCAAGGAUCUCUGCCUCCUGGUAUUCAUGCUCGUCUCUUGAAUGCGGGUUGAACCUGUUGGCUCUUUCCAGUGAACAGAAUAUGGCAAAAGUGAUGGGAUGUCACUUCCAAGAGGAAGUUACAGAAAGAGAUUGUGUUCAGGAGGAGGAAGAGAAGCAAUGGGGAUCUUGCUCUGGGGAAAGCCAGCUGCAGUGUUGUGCGGGCUGCCUGAGGAAAGGUGCCCUCCGGAAAGAAAUGAUAUCUCCGCCCAACAGCAUGGUGGACCUGAGUCCUGCUACCAGCCACAUGAGUGCGCUUGGAAGCAGGUGGAGCCCAGUUGAGCCUUGAGGUGCCUCCCUCUGUGAGAGACCCCAAGCCAGAGACAUCCGGCCAAGAGGCACCCAGAUUCCUGCCCCACAGAAACUGACAUAAUAACGUUGUUUAAAGCCACUACAUUUGGAGGAUGAAUAGCCUUGGAAGAUAGAGAUCGUGUCUCCCUCCAGAGCAAAGGGCAGAUUAGCUUCAAUGAUGACAGAAGAUCCCGGUUCCCGGGCUCAGAGCUCCGCUGCUGUAACGUAAGCCCUUCUGUCCUCAUGUCACCUAGAGCCUCUUCCUGUCACCCUGUGGGAAGUGAUUCUGAGGAAACCAGCACAAUUGCAAACACUCUGGCUACUGCUUUGCUGUGACUAAUAAACAUCCUUUGUC